rnacentral:rRNA from 1 species
GUUAGCUGUCUCCUUUCUCCAUCAGUGAAACUGAUCUUCCCGUGAAGAAGCGGAAAUUAAUUUAUAAGACGAGAAGACCCCAUGGAGCUUUAAACCCAAUUACAUCCUUAUAUUUAAAAUCUUCAUAGCUUUUAAGGUAUUGUAUAUUCGGUUUUAGGUUGGGGUGACCGCGGAGCAUAAAUAAGCCUCCACGAUGAAUGGAAUUAUUUUCCUUAUCUAAGAACUACAUUUCUAAGAAUUAAUAUUUUAACAUAUAAUGAUCCAAUAUUUGAUCAACGAACCAAGUUACCCUGGGGAUAACAGCGCAAUCCACUUCAAGAGCCCCUAUCGACAAGUGGG